rnacentral:rRNA from 1 species
UGGUAAUGCCGGAUGUUCCACAUGAUCGCAUGUGAUUGUGGGAAAGAUUCUAUCGGCGUGGGAUGGGGUCGCGUCCUAUCAGCUUGUUGGUGAGGUAACGGCUCACCAAGGCUUCGACGGGUAGCCGGCCUGAGAGGGCGACCGGCCACAUUGGGACUGAGAUACGGCCCAGACUCCUACGGGAGGCAGCAGUGGGGAAUAUUGCACAAUGGGCGCAAGCCUGAUGCAGCGACGCCGCGUGAGGGAUGGAGGCCUUCGGGUUGUAAACCUCUUUUGUUUGGGAGCAAGCCUUCGGGUGAGUGUACCUUUCGAAUAAGCGCCGGCUAACUACGUGCCAGCAGCCGCGGUAAUACGUAGGGCGCAAGCGUUAUCCGGAUUUAUUGGGCGUAAAGGGCUCGUAGGCGGCUCGUCGCGUCCGGUGUGAAAGUCCAUCGCUUAACGGUGGAUCUGCGCCGGGUACGGGCGGGCUGGAGUGCGGUAGGGGAGACUGGAAUUCCCGGUGUAACGGUGGAAUGUGUAGAUAUCGGGAAGAACACC